rnacentral:lncRNA from 1 species
GGGCUCCCCGCGCGGUGACCGUCGAGGUGACCUGCACCUGGCUCCAUGGCGGAACCGGCCGGCACGGAUUAUUCCCCUCUCGGGAGAGGUCUGCAGCCGGGCCUCAGUGCUUCAGUUCGUGGCCUGGCAUUUUGUGAAGAGUGUCUUCAUCUCUGCAUCCCUAGUGCAACAGAGCAUGACAAAAAUUCAACAAAUAUUUAUUGAAGAGUCUUGAUGUCUUUUGGGAAAGGAACUCUAUGGUUACCUUUACUCUAAGGCAUUGUGAAGACCCUGUUUCUCUAGCUGUGCAGCUGCAAGGUCACUAGGCAGAUAAACUCAAGCCAUAAAACAUGUUUUUCCUUGAAAAAUUAGAUGGGUGUUACUGAUUCUUACCUCAGAGAAGAGAAUGUCAUGGAGACAAAAUGACCUGCUUAGAGUUCUGCACCCCCCAGCAUGGAGAGCAGAGCGCAAAGAUUUCUUCCGGACUCCCACAUUCCCCUUGGAAUCCAAGAACUGGUCUACUGUCACAACACUUUAGUACCCUCUUAGAUGGGGAUCUCACUCUGUUGCCCAGGCUGGUCUCAAACUCCUGGCUUCAAGCAAUCCUCCUGCUUCGGCCUCCCAAACUUCUGGGAUUACAGAUAUGAGCCACCACGGCUGGCUGACAGGCACCAAAUUCUAGGAGAGGACUUGAAUAGACUCCCAAGGAGGCAGCAGAAACUGGGGUAAUCACAACGGUCAACAGCAGCAAAGGCAGCACUUUCUG